UGUGAAGCAGCUGUCUAAACGCCAACGUUGCGACCAGUCAACACCAAACACAGGAAACUACACUACAAUCUUAUUCUUCACCUUUGAGGAUAAGGCCAUUACGUGAAAACUUUAACAAGGGGCGACGGCACUGUCUGGAGAGAAUCUUAUUGUCAAAACUGGGAAAGAGAGGACAGUUCCUGGAAUCUGCUGAAGAUCACAGAACGUGCAGCGUGGUGAUCCACAGCAGAGAACUAUCAUUGGGGCCAGUGACCAGAAACCCUUGGUGAAUGUGCGGUCAGGCUUGACCCUUAGGAUGAACACUCCUGUGUCACUGCCUCCGGAAAGGGAACCUCCUUCCUUCCAGCGGCUUCCUCCACAAAGUACCUGCUGCUGAGCAGAGUCACGGGAGAAGACCAGAGUGGCCCUUCAAGUCUGGCCAAUGAAGGAAAAACAUUAAUUUGAGGAUGACAGAAUGAGCGUUUCAGGAUCAGUCUGAAUCCACAUCCUGAAGUUACUGUGAGGAAAGAACAAAGUGUCUCUUUUGGGGCUAAAGGCACCACACCCAAGUGCCAUUGUUCCCCAGUACGACGGCCACCCAUUGUGCUCCUGGACUCCUGGGCUCGGCACAGUGAUGUCAGACUUCUUUCACAAUAUUUAGCACACCUGUCCCUUAAGAAUCCCACGAUGGCUCUGGUCUGGGGUUCCUUCUUCCUUUUGUAUCUGGGUUAGAAUGCUCUUUCUCUAUUUAAAUUUUCUGAGUUCUAGUUUUGAAAACCCACAAAUAUUAUAAAAUAUGAAAUGGUAGGAAUGAAAAAUAGCAUGGGCUCCAAGAACCGGAGUAUGAGCUCGUCAGCGGGAUGGCUUACACAUCACUUUACCCUCAGCCACAAGCAACCACUGCAAGGCCCACCGCAAGGUUACCCAGUCAUUACAGCUAACUGUCAGGUUUGAAACAGCAGCCCACACCAACACCAAGCUUGGCUUUCUCCCUGAAAGAAGUCCAACUAUUUCAACAGUAGAACUGCAUGCAAAGCAGAUUCGGAAGGAUCAUAAUUUCUCUAGACAGUGGAGUGAUGUCUGCCAAGUAACACUGAAAGAUGAACUACACCUGGAUACCUCCAAGAAUCCACAGAAGCACUUUCUUUUCAAACUUGCCCAGAAUCAGAACCCUAAGAUCCUUUGUAGUCCCUGGUCACAGGCUGGCAACACAGGACAUCUUGAACUUAAGUAGCUUUUACUACUGAAGCCAGCCAUGGAGACUUCUCAUGACUCUUAGUUUUAGAAAUGACUAAAGAAGCUGUGGCAGUUUGGAUGUAAUUGGCCCCCACAAUCUCACAGGGAGUGGCACUAUUAGGAGGUGUGACUUUGUUGGAGUGGGUGUGGUCUUGUUGGACGAAGUGUGU